rnacentral:rRNA from 1 species
CGGGUGAGUAAUGUAUAGGAACUUGCCUAGUAGUGGGGGAUAACGUGUGGAAACGCACGCUAAUACCGCAUACGCUCUACGGAGGAAAGCGGGGGAUCUUCGGACCUCGUGCUACUAGAUGGGCCUAUAUCAGAUUAGCUAGUUGGUAAGGUAAUGGCUUACCAAGGCGACGAUCUGUAGCUGGUUUGAGAGAAUGAUCAGCCACGCUGGGACUGAGACACGGCCCAG